GUUUUGGGUGCUCGAUUUAGCCUGCGUAGUUGCACGAGUUUAGACUCGUAGCAGAUAGCUCAGUAACACGUGGCCUAACUACCCUAUGGAUCCGAAUAACCUCGGGAAACUGAGGCUAAUGCGGAAUAGCGUUCAUCGCCUGGAGUGGCACGAACGCGAAACGUUACGGCGCCAUAGGAUGUGGCUGCGGCCGAUUAGGUAGACGGUGGGGUAACGGCCCACCGUGCCCAUAAUCGGUACGGGUUGUGAGAGCAAGAGCCCGGAGACGGUAUCUGAGACAAGAUACCGGGCCCUACGGGGCGCAGCAGGCGCGAAACCUUUACACUGCACGCGAGUGCGAUAAGGGGACUCCGAGUGCGAGGGCAUAUAGUCCUCGCUUUUCACGACCGUAAGGUGGUCGUAGAAUAAGUGCUGGGCAAGACCGGUGCCAGCCGCCGCGGUAAUACCGGCAGCACAAGUGAUGACCGCUAUUAUUGGGCCUAAAGCGUCCGUAGCUGGCCACGCAAGUCUAUCGGGAAAUCCGCGCGCUUAACGCGCGGGCGUCCGGUGGAAACUGCGUGGCUUGGGACCGGAAGACCAGAGGGGUACGUCCGGGGUAGGAGUGAAAUCCCGUAAUCCUGGACGGACCACCGGUGGCGAAAGCGCCUCUGGAAGACGGAU
rnacentral:rRNA from 1 species